UUAAGCUGAUAAGAGCGCAGGGUGGAUGCCUUGGCACUAAGAGCCGAAGAAAGACGUGAUAAGCUGCGAAAAGCUGUGGGGAGGAGCAAAUAUCCCUUGAUCCACAGAUAUCUGAAUGGGGAAACCCGGCUGAGGAAACCUCAGUCACCGUUAACUGAAUCCAUAGGUUAACGGAGGGAACCCGGUGAACUGAAACAUCUAAGUAGCCGGAGGAAGAGAAAGAAACAUCGAUUUUGUGAGUAGCGGCGAGCGAAAGCGAAAGAGCCCAAACCGCGUUGCGUGCAAUGCGGGGUUCGGACUGCAUAAGAGACCAUGGACGUUAGCAGAAUGGCACUGGAAAGACCAUCCAUAGAAGGUGAAAGACCUGUACGUGAAAAUGGAAAUGGCUCGGCAGUAUCCAGAGUAGGACGAGACACGAGAAACCUUGUCUGAAUAAGCGGGGACCACCCCGUAAGGCUAAAUACUCCUUAGUGACCGAUAGAGCAUAGUACUGUGAAGGAAAGGUGAAAAGGACCCCGGGAGGGGAGUGAAAGAGAACCUGAAACCCUGUGUUUACAAGCUGUCGAAGCACGCAAGUGCGACGGCGUACUUUUUGUAGAACGGUCCGGCGAGUUAUGAUGAGUGGUAAGGUUAAGGACUUAAGGUCCGGAGCCGAAGCGAAAGCGAGUGUUAAAAGCACGGUUGAAUCGCUUAUCAUAGACCCGAAACCGGGUGAUCUAUCCAUGUCCAGGUUGAAGCUGCCGUAAGAGGUAGUGGAGGACCGAACACACAUCCGUUGAAAAGGGUGGUGAUGAGGUGUGGAUAGGGGAGAAAUUCCAAUCGAACCCGGAGAUAGCUGGUUCUCCUCGAAAUAGCUUUAGGGCUAGCCUCGUAUUAGUUUAGCGGAGGUAGAGCACUGAAUGGUCUAGGGGGCCUCACCGCCUACCGAAACCUAUCAAACUGCGAAUGCCGGAUAAAUGAUGUGCGGGAGUCAGGCCGCGAGAGAUAAGUUCCGCGGUCAAAAGGGGAACACCCCAGAUCGUCUGCUAAGGUCCCCAAGUACGCGUUAAGUGGGAAAGGAUGUUGGAUUGCACAGACAACCAGGAUGUUGGCUUAGAAGCAGCCACACAUUCAAAGAGUGCGUAAUAGCUCACUGGUCGAGUGAUCCAGCGCCGAAAAUGUAACGGGGCUAAAACGCGACACCGAAGCAGCGGGAUGCGUAAGCAUCGGUAGAGGAGCAUUGUGUGAGGAUAGAAGCCAGAGCGGGAGCACUGGUGGACUUCACAGAAGAGAGAAUGCCGGUAUGAGUAGCGAGACCCAUGCGAGAAACAUGGGCGUCGAAGGCCCAAGGUUUCCUGGGGAAGGUUCAUCCACCCAGGGUAAGUCGGGACCUAAGCCGAGGACUGAGGUCGUAGGCGAUGGACAGCAGGUAGAGAUUCCUGCACCACUUACACUUGUUUGACGAAGCAGUGACACAGAAGGAUAGGACGAGCGCGGUGAUGGUCAACCGCGUAGGCGGCACGAGGCUGGGGAGCAGUAAAGUACACUUCCCGAGAAGGCUGAGUGCUGACAGGACCGAAAAAGAGUAGGGAAGCGUCUGAGUUCACGCUGGCGAGAAAAGCUGCUAAGGAGAGUGUGAGUGCCCGUACCGGAAACCGACGCAGGUGGGGGAGGAGAGAAUCCUGCGACGGACGGGAGAACUCUUGUUAAGGAACUCGGCAAAAUGACCCCGUAACUUCGGGAGAAGGGGUGCUUGUGAAAGCAAGCCGCAGUGAAUAGGCCCAGGCGACUGUUUAUCAAAAACACAGGUCUCUGCUAAACCGCAAGGUGAUGUAUAGGGGCUGACGCCUGCCCGGUGCUGGAAGGUUAAGAGGAGAGGUUAGCGCAAGCGAAGCUUUGAAUUGAAGCCCCAGUAAACGGCGGCCGUAACUAUAACGGUCCUAAGGUAGCGAAAUUCCUUGUCGGGUAAGUUC
rnacentral:rRNA from 1 species